CGCUACAUGAAAUCAUCCCUGCGGGCCAAAAGUUUCUAUUGCUUUCAGCACAGAACCUUUGCACGGGCCUAAGGGGCAAGAAGGAAACUUUCGUUGAGAAUGGCAUUAAGGGGGCAAGAAGAGAACUUUCUGUUGGUCGAACCCCCGCACAGGCCUAACGGGUAAGAAGGAAACUACAUUUAAGAAUGAAACUUUUCAUUGCUCGAAUCUCUGCACCGGCCUAUGGGAACUUCCAUUAGGAAUUGCGCGCCAAAGGGGCAAGAAGAGAACUUCCAUUAAGAAUGGCAGCAGAAGGGGGAAGUUCUCAUUGCUCAGAACGCCCCACCUCCCAUUGCUCAGCACGCUCAGCUGAAUGAUCUCCCAUUGAACAACGGCAAGGAUGGAAGCAAGAACAACAACUCUUGGCCUCGUACUUCUAGCAGAUGAUAUUUUUUAAAUUCGUAGAUCUUUCCGACAAAUAAUCGAUGUGGGAUCUAUAAAUAGUAAAUAGGCCCCUUAGGCCACGCCCAUCGAUCUCCGAGAAAACAUGGCUGUCUUCUCCAUUCUCGCUGCUCUCCAAGUCCUUGGAUUCAUUGCCAUCCCCUAUGCCAAGAACGCAAGUGGCUACGGAAGUGAUGAGGUGAACUGUGGCGAAGACGUCGAGGGCCAGCUGCCAAAAGGGGCGGAAGCCGAGAUAGAUCCGACAACCCAGCAGAGCUGCCCUGAAGUCCAUGAGGAGGGUGUUGCUGCACAGGACAGUGGGAGAGGCGCGGCUGAUAAAAUUGUGCUGGCUGGGAGUGCCGAGUGCCCGACAGUGGAUGCUUGCGUCCCAGGUGCGGAUCUGGUUGGCCCGCGGCAGGUGCAGCGGAGGGGAAGGGCUCCCACGGCAGUAACGAGGUCUUGGAGGCUCAGCUGGGAAGAAGAGCUUCUGGUGACAAAAUUCUCUUAGGUGUGGCUCCUGAAGAUUCAGAAGCAUAUGAAGUGAAUCCUCACUUUCUUAUUUUCUUUCUAUCUUUUAAUAUAUGAAGGAUUGUCUAUGAAAAUAUAUGCUAAGACUUUCAACUUGCCACAUUCACUUCCAAAUGGUUAAUUUUCUAAACAGUUGAUUGUCCCUUUUCCCUAUCGAUCCAUGUCCAUGUUUCCCAGGCUGCAAUUGGAAUACCUUGUCUCCGAUCUCUUUUAUAAAAAUCAUUG